rnacentral:rRNA from 1 species
UACAGAGGGUGCAAGCGUUAAUCGGAGUUACUGGGCGUAAAGCGUACGUAGGCGGAUAUUCAAGUCAAGCGUGAAAGCCCCGGGCUUAACCUGGGAACUGCGUUCGAUACUGGGUAUCUAGAGUAUGAUAGAGGGAAGUGGAAUUUCCGGUGUAGCGGUGAAAUGCGUAGAUAUCGGAAAGAACACCAAUGGCGAAGGCAGCUUUCUGGAUCAAUACUGACGCUAAGGUACGAAAGCGUGGGGAGCAAACAGGAUUAGAUACCCCCGUA